rnacentral:misc_RNA from 1 species
GAUGAAGAACGUAGCGAAAUGCGAUAAGUAAUGUGAAUUACAGAAUUCAGUGAAUCAUCGAAUCUUUGAACGCACAUUGCGCCCCCCAGUAUUCUGGCGGGCAUGCCUGUUCGAGCGUCAUUUCAACCAUCAAGCCCUGCUUGUGUUGGGGUCCUGCGGCUGCCCGCAGGCCCUGAAAACCAGUGGCGGGCUCGCUAGUCACACCGAGCGCAGUAGCACAUCUCGCUCAGGGCGUGCGGCGGGCUCCAGCCGUUAAAGCACCCACCUUUCGCAAGGUUGACCUCGGAUCAGGUAGGAAUACCCGCUGAACUUAAGCAUAUCAAUAAGCGGAGGA